AGAGUUUGAUCAUGGCUCAGGACGAACGCUGGCGGCGUGCCUAAUACAUGCAAGUCGAGCGAGCGGAACCAACAGAUUUACUUCGGUAAUGACGUUGGGAAAGCGAGCGGCGGGUGGGUGAGUAACACGUGGGGAACCUGCCCCUAAGUCUGGGAUACCAUUUGGAAACAGGUGCUAAUACCGGAUAAUAAAGCAGAUCGCAUGAUCAGCUUUUGAAAGGCGGCGUAAGCUGUCGCUAAGGGAUGGCCCCGCGGUGCAUUAGCUAGUUGGUAAGGUAACGGCUUACCAAGGCGACGAUGCAUAGCCGAGUUGAGAGACUGAUCGGCCACAUUGGGACUGAGACACGGCCCAAACUCCUACGGGAGGCAGCAGUAGGGAAUCUUCCACAAUGGACGCAAGUCUGAUGGAGCAACGCCGCGUGAGUGAAGAAGGUUUUUGGAUCGUAAAGCUCUGUUGUUGGUGAAGAAGGAUAGAGGUAGUAACUGGCCUUUAUCUGACGGUAAUCAACCAGAAAGUCACGGCUAACUGCGUGCCAGCAGCCGCGGUAAUACGUAGGUGGCAAGCGUUGUCCGGAUUUAUUGGGCGUAAAGCGAGCGCAGGCGGAAAAAUAAGUCUAAUGUGAAAGCCCUCGGCUUAACCGAGGAACUGCAUCGGAAACUGUUUUUCUUGAGUGCAGAAGAGGAGAGUGGAACUCCAUGUGUAGCGGUGAAAUGCGUAGAUAUAUGGAAGAACACCAGUGGCGAAAGCGGCUCUCUGGUCUGCAACUGACGCUGAGGCUCGAAAGCAUGGGUAGCGAACAGGAUUAGAUACCCUGGUAGUCCAUGCCAUAAACGAUGAGUGCUAAGUGUUGGGAGGUUUCCGCCUCUCAGUGCUGCAGCUAACGCAUUAAGCACUCCGCCUGGGGAGUACGACCGCAAGGUUGAAACUCAAAGGAAUUGACGG
rnacentral:rRNA from 1 species